rnacentral:lncRNA from 1 species
UGAAACUGCCUUUUUAAAAAUUAUAUCAGCAAGAAAAUUAUAGCAGUGAAGGAGAUCUGAUCUGGCCAACUCCCAUCUUGCCUUUAGCCUUCAGGCUGUGCUUAAGUAUUCCUACGCUUUAGCUAAGCUAACUUCGGGAGACAUUUAAUUUAUAGUUCAAAUGAUAAUAGCCCUUCUCCAAAACUUAGCCCCUUUAAUAAAGCUAAUGAGACACCACCAGGCUAGGAGGAUACAGGAGCCUGAAUUCUGCUAAAGUGUAGAUGUAAAUGAUUACCUACUAUUAUUCCAGAGGUCACAAGAUAUGGAACUUCUCCAAUUAAUCCUGCAGAUUAAUCACAAUUGUAGAACCUGAGAUUUGUCUUUUGAAAUAUUUUUUUUCAGGCUUUU